CAAGUCGAGCGAGAUCCGGUCCUUCGGGACCGGGGAAAGCGGCGAACGGGUGAGUAACACGUGGGUAAUCAACCCUCGGUACCGGGAUAGCCCGAGGAAACUCGGAUUAAUACCGGAUGGCCCAGCAGCUCUUCGGGGCGGCUGGGAAAGGUAGCUUCGGCCUCCGACCGAGGACGAGCCCGCGGCGGAUUAGCUUGUUGGCGGGGUAAUGGCCCACCAAGGCGACGAUCCGUAGCUGGUCUGAGAGGACGAUCAGCCACACUGGGACUGAGACACGGCCCAGACUCCUACGGGAGGCAGCAGUGGGGAAUCUUGCACAAUGGGCGAAAGCCUGAUGCAGCGACGCCGCGUGAGGGAAGAAGGCUUUCGGGUUGUAAACCUCUUUCAGGAGGGACGAAGCUACUCGGGUUAAUAGCCCAGAGGGUGACGGUACCUCCAGAAGAAGCCCCGGCUAACUACGUGCCAGCAGCCGCGGUAAUACGUAGGGGGCAAGCGUUGUCCGGAUUUAUUGGGCGUAAAGAGCGUGUAGGCGGCCAGAUAGGUCUGUUGUGAAAACUCGAGGCUCAACCUCGAGACGCCGAUGGAAACCAUUUGGCUAGAGUCCGGAAGAGGAGAGUGGAAUUCCUGGUGUAGCGGUGAAAUUCGUAGAUAUUCGCAAGAACACCAGUGGCGAAGGCGGCUCACUGGCCCGGACCUGAC
rnacentral:rRNA from 1 species